GUCCACGCCGUAAACGAUGAUUACUAGGUGUUGGUGGGUACGACCCAUCGGUGCCGCAGCAAACGCAAUAAGUAAUCCACCUGGGGAGUACGUUCGCAAGAAUGAAACUCAAAGGAAUUGACGGGGGACCCGCACAAGCGGUGGAGCAUGUGGUUUAAUUCGAUGCAACGCGAAGAACCUUACCUGGUCUUGACAUAGUAAGAACUUUCCAGAGAUGGAUUGGUGCCUUCGGGAACUUACAUACAGGUGCUGCAUGGCUGUCGU
rnacentral:rRNA from 1 species